CUAGCUCCAAAAGUAUUGGAACACUGUCUAGCACCACCCAGAAUACCCUGGCAACCACCUAGCAACACCCUAGCAACCACCCAUAACACCCUAGCAACCGCCUAGCAACACCCUAGCAACACCCUAGCAACCGCCUAACAACACCCUAGCAGACUUAGUUUCUCAAGUCAACAUCAAAGUUUGUCGUGACUAAAUUUACCUAUCUAGUUAUAUAUUCUCAAAAACUAAAAUAUUCAUACAAGAACCCAAGGAAUAACAACUUUGCAAAAUGAAAGAAAAUGAAUACUUUUACUUUAUUCCUUCUUGUUUUAUUAAUCUUGCAAUAUUAAUUUAUUGCUUCUCAUUUUAUCUGCAAAAAUAUUUGUAAAUUGGGUAAGAGAAACAGCACUUAAUAUCUCACAUCUCAAUGCGUGUUUUUAAACCACAGUAAGGAUGUGAGUACAUAUAUACUGGCAACGACUUUGGCAUGGGAAACAAUCGGUUUUAUAUUCCAAAUAUUUGUUAGUCGACCACUGCAUACAUCCCAUUUUCACCUGGUAUUAAUAUGUGCAUUUUUGUGAUUAGCAAAGUACAGUUGUAAACAGGAUCCAAAACCUUUUGGGGCAGAUCACUGAAACCACAUACAGAGGUAGUCAAAAACUCAUGUGCCCACAUCACAUUUCAAGUGGAAGCGAUAUCUGCCCUGAAUGCCUCCUUAAUGGUAUGGAAGGCUGCCCAUUCGCCUGUCAAUGAUCCACUGCACUGAAGCUACAUCCAAUUGCAUGUCUGCAUUUGUUGGAGUUUGUUGGGCACUAAUCCGUGAGAUGCUAACAAAGCAAGAAAUGAUUCUUGACCAGCAACAGUCCAUUCUGCGCAUCCUCACUGCGAAGCAACUCCAGGACACCAAUUCUGAAGUUGAAGAUGGACUUUUGCCAAUGAAAGACCCACAGGGCCUCCAGCGACUGGAGCAGAAAUUCCAAGAAAGUGAUUUCAAGGAAAAAUUGAUUAAUCACCUAGGCCUGGUUGGAGGGUGUGACAUGAAGGACACUGUGUGGAGAACAAUGAGGCGGACACUUUCUAAUGAACUUGCAAGAAACAUCAAUUGGAAAGGAAUAAAUUGGAAUAUAUUCUUGGCACCCCUGCAAUUUAGGGAUGUUGCAAUCGGUAAGUUGUGAUGUCGAAAGUAUCGGUACCAAGUUGAUACUAAAAUUUUUAAAAUGUUACGAUACCAGUUUUUUUUUCAGUACCGGUAGUACCAAGUACCAACUAUUCGGUACCUGUGCACUUUUUGAGGCACAGCAUUCAAAGGCAUAUGUGUGUGCACUCUCUGUGAACAUUGCUCUGUGUGUGAAUAUCGCUCACGACAAUGCGGCUGUGUGUGACUGCAUGUGUGCGGUUAAAUGCAUCAUUUGAAAAUGCUUGUCUUGGCGAGAUGUACGUUAUCCCACUUAUGACAUGGUUAGUUACAACAUAAAUAAGAAGAUUACUUUUUUAGAGUAACUUACCCCACCCUGGCAGUAAUAUGGAACUCUCUAAUGUGGGCUAAGAAACUGGGAACUACUUCAGCCAUGCAAUUAUUGAAAAAUAAUCAACUCCUUAAAACAGUGUUACUCAAUCCUGCUCAUGUAGCACCUGCAACAAAAUGGGCAAUGUUGAGCGCACUCCGGGAACAGGAUAAGGAAAUAUUUUAAUCAAGAAUCAGAGUAAGACUAAUUCAUGUAUGCUUAAGGCUUAUACUUUUGCAUCGGACUACAACGUAGCCUACUCGGCUGUCUGCAAUUACAGUUCUGUGUUGGUGUCUGCGUAGCUGCUAGGUGGCAGUGUUGACUACACAGGAACAAAGCACAGCAGAAGAUGUUUUAACUUCUGUACAUGGAGAGGUGGUCCGUAGACUGCUGCUUUUUUCUAAAUGGAGUUAAUAAACAAUUAUUGGAAUUUCUGUUAAAUAUAUUUGCCACGUUAUGUCAGACAUUCUUGUUAUAUGAAUAAAUAAAUGUAUUAUGAACAUUUUUGAAUCGCCAGAUUCAUUUAUAUUUUGAGCUCUGUUCAACCCGUCUGUGUGUAAUAAGCUUCCGCGCUUUUAUUAGAAGCUACAGGCAAUCUGCUUUAUUACAUUUAUUCUCAAUGAAUAUGAAAUUACUGCAGACAUAUUUAUCAUCCUGGGGAGGGUCUCUGGUUGCACAAAGGACCAAUCACAACUGUUGUCCGCAUACACACGACGCGUUGUUACAGUUAUGGAGAGGUGCACAUCAGGCAACGCCGUAGGCUACGCAAAGGUCCGACGUAGAAGUAUAAAUAGCAUUUAGCGUGUCUCAAUUCGCAGAAGUUGUCAACUGUUUUGCCUCUGAGGCGCAAUAAACAGUAGCUUGCCCUUGAUAUACAUUGAUAUAAGUUCUGCUCAUUUACAUUACAUUCUAACUGAUAAUCUGUGGUACAUGUUAAAUUCCCAUUUUUGUUUUGUUCAUUUAUGUCGUUGUCUAUGCGUUGUUAAGUUAAUGUUUAAUGUAAUUCUUGAAAUUUGAUGGGCUUUGAAAUAUUUUUUGUACAGUUUUAUUAUUUUAUGAGUUGAACUUAAAAAUAAAUAUUCAAUAUUCAUUUAAACUGCUUUAUUGUCAUUUUAUUUGAAUAUGGCCAUUUUGAUGAAUUAAUUAAUUAUGAAAACAUUCAUGUGGAAAAUUAAUCAUGUCUGGGCCAAAUC